rnacentral:rRNA from 1 species
UACGGAGGGAGCUAGCGUUGUUCGGAAUCACUGGGCGUAAAGGGUGCGUAGGCGGGUCUUUAAGUCAGGGGUGAAAUCCUGGAGCUCAACUCCAGAACUGCCUUUGAUACUGAAGAUCUUGAGUUCGGGAGAGGUGAGUGGAACUGCGAGUGUAGAGGUGAAAUUCGUAGAUAUUCGGAGGAACACCAGUGGCGAAGGCGGCUCACUGGUCCAUUACUGACGCUGAGGUGCGAAAAGCGUGGGGAGCAAACAGG